rnacentral:rRNA from 1 species
GACGGAGGAUGCAAGCGUUAUCCGGAAUGAUUGGGCGUAAAGCGUCCGCAGGUGGCAGUUCAAGUCUGCUGUCAAAGACCGGGGCUUAACUUCGGAAAGGCAGUGGAAACUGAACAGCUAGAGUAUGGGUAGGGGCAGAGGGAAUUCCUGGUGGUAGCGGUGAAAUGCGUAGAGAUCAGGAAGAACAUCGGUGGCGAAGGCGCUCUGCUGGACCAUAACUGACACUCAGGGACGAAAGCUAGGGGAGCGAAUGGG